AUUGAACGCUGGCGGCAGGCCUAACACAUGCAAGUCGAGCGGAAACGAUCCUAGCUUGCUAGGAGGCGUCGAGCGGCGGACGGGUGAGUAACGCGUGAGAAUCUACCCAUGAGUGGGGGACAACCCGGGGAAACUCGGGCUAAUACCGCAUACGCCCUACGGGGUAAAGCAGGGGACCUUCGGGCCUUGCGCUGAUGGAUGAGCUCGCGUCAGAUUAGCUUGUUGGUGAGGUAAAGGCUCACCAAGGCGACGAUCCGUAGCUGGUCUGAGAGGAUGAUCAGCCACACCGGGACUGAGACACGGCCCGGACUCCUACGGGAGGCAGCAGUGGGGAAUCUUGGACAAUGGGGGCAACCCUGAUCCAGCCAUGCCGCGUGUGUGAAGAAGGCCUUCGGGUUGUAAAGCACUUUCAGCAGGGAGGAAGGCUUACCCCUAAUACGGGUGAGUACUUGACGUUACCUGCAGAAGAAGCACCGGCUAAUUUCGUG
rnacentral:rRNA from 1 species